UACGUAGGGGGCAAGCGUUGUCCGGAAUCAUUGGGCGUAAAGAGCGCGUAGGCGGUUCGGUAAGUCCGCUGUGAAAGUCGGGGGCUCAACCCUCGAAUGCCGGUGGAUACUGUCGGGCUAGAGUCCGGAAGAGGCGAGUGGAAUUCCUGGUGUAGCGGUGAAAUGCGCAGAUAUCAGGAGGAACACCGGUGGCGAAGGCGCUCAUCUGGCCCAAUACUGACGCUGAAGCGCGAAAGCUAGGGGAGCAAACGGG
rnacentral:rRNA from 1 species